GAUGAACGCUGGCGGCGUGCCUAAUACAUGCAAGUCGAGCGAACAGACGAGGAGCUUGCUCCUCUGACGUUAGCGGCGGACGGGUGAGUAACACGUGGAUAACCUACCUAUAAGACUGGGAUAACUUCGGGAAACCGGAGCUAAUACCGGAUAAUAUAUUGAACCGCAUGGUUCAAUAGUGAAAGACGGUUUUGCUGUCACUUAUAGAUGGAUCCGCGCCGCAUUAGCUAGUUGGUAAGGUAACGGCUUACCAAGGCAACGAUGCGUAGCCGACCUGAGAGGGUGAUCGGCCACACUGGAACUGAGACACGGUCCAGACUCCUACGGGAGGCAGCAGUAGGGAAUCUUCCGCAAUGGGCGAAAGCUUGACGGAGCAACGCCGCGUGAGUAAUGAAGGUCUUCGGAUCGUAAAACUCUGUUAUUAGGGAAGAACAAAUGUAUAAGUAACUAUGCACGUCUUGACGGUACCUAAUCAGAAAGCCACGGCUAACUACGUG
rnacentral:rRNA from 1 species